UCGUUUUUUUAGAAUGCAAGGUAGCCAAACGUCCAAUUUUUUGUCAAAGUAUUGUUGAAAAGCAAUAUGAAAAACCUUGGAGUGAUUAUGCUCACAUUAGUAGCCAAUAGUCUAAAAUGAAGUAAAUAUAUUCAUAAAGUUAGACGGCCGUAUAGUCUCUGGUUUCUGCAUUGAUAAUGCAGAGUGAAUCGGUCUUUAAAUAAAAACACAAAGAUGUUUUAUGAUAAGCAUAAGAAUCCAUACAAUAAGAUUCUCCAUAUAUGACUAUGGAAUGUAUUUUUAUUCGAACGAGUGUAUUUUUACGGAACCUGUCAAUUGAACAUGACUCA
rnacentral:rRNA from 1 species